rnacentral:rRNA from 1 species
CAGGCCUAACACAUGCAAGUCGAACGAGAUCUUCGGAUCUAGUGGCGCACGGGUGAGUAACGCGUGGAAACCUGCCUAUCUGUACGGAAUAACGUUUGGAAACGAACGCUAAUACCGUAUACGCCCUGUGGGGGAAAGGUCCGCCGCAGAUAGAGGGGUCCGCGUCCGAUUAGCUUGUUGGUGGGGUAAUGGCCUACCAAGGCGACGAUCAGUAGCUGGUCUGAGAGGAUGAUCAGCCACACUGGGACUGAGACACGGCCCAGACUCCUACGGGAGGCAGCAGUGGGGAAUAUUGGACAAUGGAGGAAACUCUGAUCCAGCAAUGCCGCGUGUGUGAUGAAGGCCCUAGGGUUGUAAAGCACUUUCAUUGGUGAAGAUGAUGACGGUAACCAAAGAAGAAGCCCCGGCUAACUUCGUGCCAGCAGCCGCGGUAAUACGAAGGGGGCGAGCGUUGUUCGGAAUUACUGGGCGUAAAGGGAGCGCAGGCGGUUCAAUUAGUUAGGCGUGAAAGCCCCGGGCUCAACCUGGGAACCGCGCUUAAUACUGUUGAGCUAGAAUACAGAAGAGGAUAGUGGAAUUCCCAGUGUAGAGGUGAAAUUCGUAGAUAUUGGGAAGAACACCGGUGGCGAAAGCGGCUAUCUGGUCUGUU